AGCGAACGCUGGCGGCAGGCUUAACACAUGCAAGUCGAACGGGCAUAGCAAUGUGUCAGUGGCAGACGGGUGAGUAACGCGUGGGAACGUACCUUUUGGUUCGGAACAACACAGGGAAACUUGUGCUAAUACCGGAUAAGCCCUUACGGGGCGAGAUUUGUCGCCGAAAGAUCGGCCCGCGUCUGAUUAGCUAGUUGGUAGGGUAAUGGCCUACCAAGGCGACGAUCAGUAGCUGGUCUGAGAGCAUGAUCAGCCACAUUUGGACUGAGACACGGCCCCAACUGCGACGGGAGGCAGCAGUAGGGAAUAUUGGACACUGAGCGAAAGCGUAGUCCAGCCAUGCCGCGUGAGUGAGGAAGGCGCUAGGGUUGUAAAGCCAUUUGGGGCGGGAAGAAAAUGACGGUACCGCAAGAAUAAGCCCCGGCUAACUUCGUG
rnacentral:rRNA from 1 species